UACGUAGGGUGCGAGCGUUGUCCGGAAUUAUUGGGCGUAAAGAGCUCGUAGGCGGUGUGUCACGUCGGUCGUGAAAACUUGGGGCUUAACCCUGAGCUUGCGGUCGAUACGGGCAUCACUUGAGUUCGGCAGGGGAGACUGGAAUUCCUGGUGUAGCGGUGAAAUGCGCAGAUAUCAGGAGGAACACCGGUGGCGAAGGCGGGUCUCUGGGCCGAUACUGACGCUGAGGAGCGAAAGCGUGGGGAGCGAACAGG
rnacentral:rRNA from 1 species